rnacentral:rRNA from 1 species
GGGGAAUAUUGCACAAUGGGGGAAACCCUGAUGCAGCAACGCCGCGUGAGUGAUGAAGGUCUUCGGAUUGUAAAGCUCUGUCUUUAGGGACGAUAUGACGGUACCUAAGGAGGAAGCCACGGCUAACUACGUGCCAGCAGCCGCGGUAAUACGUAGGCGGCAAGCGUUAUCCGGAUUUACUGGGCGUAAAGGGAGCGUAGGCGGAUAUUUAAGUGGGAUGUGAAAUACCCGAGCUUAACUUGGGAGCUGCAUUCCAAACUGGAUAUCUAGAGUGCAGGAGAGGAGAAUGGAAUUCCUAGUGUAGCGGUGAAAUGCGUAGAGAUUAGGAAGAACACCAGUGGCGAAGGCGAUCCUCUGGACUGUAACUGACGCUGAGGCUCGAAAGCGUGGGGAGCAAAC